rnacentral:lncRNA from 1 species
GUCCUUAGGCCAAAAAAGAUAAGAAAGCGACAAUGCGAAAGAAGCUUAAAGCUAUUGAACAACAAGAACAAGCACGCAACAAAGAUUACGAAUCUAAGGUAAAUUUCUUGUUUUUCUUUUUAAUAACUUUUUUAGAUUUUUUGUUUUAUUUUAAUAAAGUAGAUGAGUAAUGUAUUGUUCAAAAUUUAUUUCAAGAAAUCAUCAAUCUGUAUAGUUGAUUAAUAUGUUAAUCAACUGUACAGAAUGAUUAAGUGUUGAUUUCUGUAUAGUUGAUUAAUGAUUAAGUGUUGAUUUCUGUAUAGUUGAUUAACAUAUUAAGUGUUGAUUUCUGUAUACUUGAUUAGUCUAUAGUUGAUUAACAUAUUAAGUGUUGAUUUCUGUAUAGUUGAUAAAUGUAUAGUUGGUUAACAUAUUAAGUGUUGAUUAAGCAUUAAGCAUUAAGUGUUUGUUUCAUUAAGCAUUAAGCAUUAAGUGCUUCUUAAGUGGUGGACCAGGUUAAAAUUCAAAAAUAAGUGUUUUUUAAGUUGUUUGUUUAGAACAAACAUUAAGAACUAAAUGGGAUAUUUCAGCGAUUUUGGCCCAGCGAAAAUCUCACGCUUAAUUUAACUUCUUAAUGCUUGUUGUAUUAUUUAGACAAUUCUACCCUUAUAAAAAUUGUUUUUAUCAUCCAUAACCAUUAAGUAAUAUCACAGUCAGAUUCAUUGGCUUAGUUAAUGGUCUUUCCUUUGUCUGAUCACUUUGAAAUUUUUACCAUAAGUUCCUGAAGAUUUCUGUUAUAUAAUAUCUAAAAUUUAGAAUUUUUAGACGAUCGGUUUGAAAGUUACAGAUUUUUUUGUGGUUGUUAUGUUUUAUAAGAAAAAUUACGUUACAGUCAGAUUCGUUUGCUUAAUAAGGGGACUUUCUUUUGUCUGAUCAUUUUAAAAGUUUUACUAUAUGUUCCUGACGAUUUCUAUUGUAUCAUAUCCUAAAUUUGGAAUUUUUAAACGAGUCGUUUGAAAGUUACAGAUUUCUUUGUGAUUGUAAUGUUUUAGAAGAAAAAUUACAGUAAGAUUCGUUUGCUUAGUAAAGGAUCUUUCCUUUGUCUGUUCACUUUGAAAUAUUUUCCAUAUGUUCAUGACGAUUUCUGUUGUACCAUAUCCAAAAUUUAGAAUUUUUAGACGAGCCGUUUAAAAGGUUGAGAUUAUUUUUUUUAAAUAUCAUGUUUCAGAAGAAAAAUUGGCGUGUAUAGUUUUGUUGUUAGAACAUUUUUCUGUUUGUACGACGUAACAAUAUAGUGUAGUUACACAAAUAUUUUGGUUAAGGGUGAAACAUUCUCAUCUGAAGCACAACACUGAAUGGUCAACUUGCACAACCAGAGUGCAAAUCAACUUUAGGUUUUUGGGUUAUGUGAUAAGGUACUGUGUAUUGUCAAAAUAUUUUUUCAAUAAUAGGGUAACAUGGUCAAAAUCACACUUAUGCAUAAACAAACAAAUCAAAAACAGAACUUCUUAAAAAUGAUAACCAAACAACUUUUUCAGCAUUCAGUGUUCAGCAUCCAGCAUUAAGUAUCCAGCAUUCAGCAUUUUAAACAAACACACCCUAAGUGUUGAUUUCUAUAUAGUUGAUUAAUGUAUUAAUCAUUGAUUUCUGUAUAGUUGAUUAAUAGUUGACUAAUGAUUCAUUCUUUUCAGGAGAGUGCACCUGAAGAACCACAUAAAUCAUCUCGAAAACGUAAAUAUUUCACAAGAUCAUCAUCUAAGAAAUCACCUAAACCAAAACCAACAGCGAAAAAGAGGAAGAAGGAUAGUGAGCCAAAUGUUGAAUUUCUAAAGAAGAAGAAGAAGGAUACUUCAUUCUUCAGAUGUUCCAUGGAACCUCUUAGAAGUUUAGCUGCAACGAUAAAGAGCAAGAUGAGUGUUGAACAUCUGCAGUUUUUAGAGGACACAAAAUUUGGAAGUCUGUACAAUCUCAUGCAUCUUGGUAUGAUUGAACCAUGCAAGCCAAAGAAUGAAUCAUUUAGAACAGCGAUCUUCUGCAUUCUCAAUUGCUACUCACCUGAAGACUGUGGUUUUAGGAUUGGGAAUAAGAUGAUGAAGUUUAGAGUUGAAGAUGUGGCAGUUCUGUUUGGUUUGAUGGGUUGUGGAGAGGUUAUUGAAAAAAAAGCAUGCAGUACUGACAAACAUCGUAAAAUCGCUUUCAUUAGUAACAACUUUACUGAGGAUAUCGACGAUGUUACAAAGGAUAAGGUGAUGAACAAGAUUCUAACACUAGUGGAUGAAGAUAGACACAAGAAGGAAGACCUUGGAUUCCUCAUCAUCAUCUACAUGUUCAUCACCGUAUUUUUCUCAAAUUCAGCGAGCAGGGCUUUGUGGAAUCACUUGAAGCAUCUUGACAGCUUGAAGGGGAUGAAUUCUGUUAACUGGGCAGAGGCUGUUCAUUUCUUCCUUGUAAACAAGUUGAAUGAAAAUCAUCAGAGGAAAAACUUGCCAAUAGGACACAAGAAGCGGCAGGAAGAAACUAUUAGUUAUAAAUAGUUCAUUAAUAUGUUAAUCAACUGUACUAUUAGUUGAUUAACUUAUUAAUCAACUCGACUAUUUAUUAAUCAACUCCACUAUUAGUUAUAAAUAGUUGGUUAAUAUGUUAAUCAACUUUACAAGUAGUUGAUUAACAUAUUAAUCAACCCCUCUAAUAUAAGUUGAUGAAUAUUAAUCAACUUAUAAAUAGGUGAUUAAUAUAUUAAUCAACUCCAAUAUUAC